AGAAAGAAAAUCGAAGAAAGAAAGAAAACAAAACCCUAAUUUUUCAUCCAGAUUCUCUCGUUUCUCCUUCUCUCUCUCACGCUCGCUCCUAGUUCUGUGGCUUGAGUAAUUAAAGUAUGGAAGCAACAUCGGAGGAAUCAGUCGGUAGUAUUGUGAGGGAAGACGAUCGGAGAGACGGAAGACGAUCGGAGAGACGGAAGACGAUCAGAGCUCUGGUUUGAAUCGCUUUGGUUCCUAAGAUAAAAACAAGGAGAUAGUUCAAAGUUGGGACCUUGUGCAACUUCAAUUAAGAAGAAGAAAAGACACCGCUCAAGGUUUUGUAUUUAUCAAACGGUGAAAACAAAUGCCUCAUCUCGAUGAAGGUAAUUAAAUUACCUCUCUAUAAGUUCCUGUCCUUGAAUUGUAGAUGAAAACAUGAUAGUCCCAUAACUUCUCUGGUUCCUAUUCACCAGAGUUGAAAACAAAUGCCUCUCUCGGUUAAGGUAAUAAAAAUUACCUCUCUCAAUGUCCCUGAACUGUAGAAUGAAAACGAGAUAGUCCCAUAAGUUCUCGGGUUCCUAGUCUCCGAGAUGAAAACAAAUGCCUCGCCUUGGUUAUGGUAAUCAAAAUUACCUCUUUGAAUGUCCCUGUCUCUAAAUGUGAUAGUCUCAGUUCUGAAAGUUCUCGGCUUCCUAGUCACCGAGAUUAAAACAAAUGCCUCGGCUCGGUUAAGGUAAUCAAAAUUACCUCUUUGAAUGUCCCUGUCCUAAACGUGAUAGUCUCAGUUCUGAAAGUUCUCGGCUUCCUAGUCACCGAGAUUAAAACAAAUGCCUCGGCUCGGUUAAGGUAAUCAAAAUUACCUCUUUGAAUGUCCUUGUCCCUAAACGCGAUAGUCCGAUUUCCAUAAGUUCUCGGGUUCCUAGUCUCCGAGAUGAAAAUAAAUGCCUCGGCUUGGUUAAGGUAAUCAAAAUUACCUCUUUGAAUGUCCCUGUCCCUAAAUGUGAUAGUCCCAGUUCUGAAAGUUCUCGGCUUCCUAGUCACCGAGAUUAAAACAAAUGCCUCGGCUCGGUUAAGGUAAUCAAAAUUACCUCUUUGAAUGUCCCUGUCCCUAAACGUGAUAGUCUCAGUUCUGAACGUUCUCGGCUUCCUAGUCACCGAGAUUAAAACAAAUGCCUCGGCUCGGUUAAGGUAAUCAAAAUUACCUCUUUGAAUGUCCCUGUCCCUAAACGUGAUAGUCUCAGUUCUGUAAAUUCUCGGAUUCCUAGUCACCGAGAUUAAAACAAAUGCCUCAGCUCGGUUAAGGUAAUCAAAAUUACCUCUUUGAAUGUCCCUGUCCCUAAACGCUAUAGUCCGAUUUCCGUAAGUUCUCGGGUUCCUAGUCACCGAGAUUAAAACAAAUGCCUCGGCUCGGUUAAGAAGUAUGACAUUCAUGGAGCAUGCAUGAUACAGCUUACAUACAAAUUCGAGGCAGUUGUUCUCCAGUUUUCAAAGAUCGUCACAAGAUUUUCAGGUUAUUCUUUCCCACCCUUUCGUAAGAGUUUUGGAUUUAUCUUCUUUGUCAUAUUUCCAUUUUAAGAAUAUUGCUUUUGCUUAAGUUUUUCUCUCUAUCUCUAAAAGAUGUAGGUAUAUAUCCUUCUUAUUAACAUACUUUCUUCAUGAUAGAAGAAGAAUUGCUACAGCAUUUAAAGUUGAAUUUGAAAAAAACUAAUUCACUUGAUAAAUCUUAAUUUCUAUUUUGAAUUCAAUGGUUCAGUUUGAAGUUCUCUGAUAUAUGGUUCUCAAUACUCUCAACUCGAAUAUACUUAUUUUAUGGUUUCUUUGUUACACUGUUUCCUAUGAUUGGUUAUAAAUAUAAAUGAUCUAUGAAAUUGACUAUUUUUUACAAUUAAAGCUGAAUAACACAUGAGUUCUCUUAGUUUUGUGAAUCUUCUGGUAUAUGUUUAUGUUAUUUUCUUGUAAAUUUCCUUGUUAUGGUCUUUCCUUGGUUAUUUGGGAUUCAUCCAGAAUUGGAUGAAAUCUUAGAUGUUAUUAUUCCUGCGAUCAUCAUCAUGUAAAGUUUGCAUUCACUCAUUUUCUGAAUCUUUUGACUUUGUUUAUAAUGUUUGUCUCAUAUCAUUUAUAGCAGAUUGCUGCUACUGUCUUCUUUGAGUUGUGUAGCAUUAUUACGAUUAUGAGUUUUUUAUGUGUUGAUUUAUAUCUGAUUCUUCGAGAACCUUAUGUCUGAGAUCUGUCUAGUUUGUUGUGAUGCAAUGCAACCCAUUUGUAUUAUGAAAACAGAGGCAAUUUUGUGCAGCAAUAUAAUUUAUGAAUAUUUUAUUAGAUGGAUCUAGAGUGGAUUGUUCUCACUAUCAUUUCAUAUUCCAGUUACUCAUUUAGCUUACCCUUUACAUCAUCUAAUUGUUAGUUACUUUAUCGGUUCUUUUCUCUCUGUAAAUAUAUUAUGAGCCCCUUCUAUAUCUUCUUGUUAUAGUCUUAUGCCUUUACUUGUUGAGAUAUCUCAGUGAUGAUGUGUUUUUAGAAAAAUUGUGAUUGGUGAUGAAUUGUUUGAAAGAAUCUAUAAAACUGACGAUUUCUUACUGUUGAAGCUGAAUAACACAUUGGUUCUCUUAGCUUUAUAAAUAUUUUGGCAUCUGAUUUUGAAUAUGUUUCAUGUUACUUUUGUAGUUUUAUUCUUUCUUGUUGUUAUUCUUGCUUGGUUAAUUUGAUUCAGACAAAGUUGAAUGAUAUCAUUUUCUAUAUGAGUACAAACAUUAGAAACAGAGUCGUAAGACUUAGAAAAUGAGUGGAGGCAAGCCUUACAUGUUUAGUAUGUGAUUCUUUAUGUAACAUUAUUCAUAUAAAUUGUCAAUUUAAAUAUUUAUUAGUAUCUUGAUUCCUUUAUACAAAGAUCAAAAGUUGCAUUUUUAUUUUGUUUGUGACAUUAAAGUUUGUUUGGAAAACCAUUCAUUUACAUGUAGGUCUUGUGUGUUUCGUUUAAAUAUAGCCGUGUAAGUAACUAUGUCACAGCUAAAUUUUGUUCUGUAAGAUGGUAUAGUUGUGUGUACUUGCUAUAUCUGGUCUUCUUUGAAUUGUGUAGAAUGAUUGAUACAAUGCGUUUUUCUGUGUUAGUUCAUAUCCGAAGCUUAUGUCUGAGAUCUGUCAGGUUUGUCGUGAUGCAACCCUUUUGUGUUGAAAACAUGAGAAGUUUUGUGCAGUAAUAUAAUUUAUGAAUAUUUUGUUAGAUGGAAUUAGAGUGCAUUGUUCUUCCUCAUUCCACUUACUCAUUUUGCUUACCCUUUGUAUUAUUUGGUUUGUUAGUUACUUUCUCGGUUCUCUUCUCUCUGGAAAUAUAUUGUGUGGUUAUUCCCUGUCAUCUUGUUAUGGUCUUAUGCCCUUGUAUGUUGAGAUUUCUCAGUGAUGACGUGUUUUAGAAAAAUUGGCUGUCUUGUUUCCUUGUGACUGUUGAAGCUGAAUAACACAGCAGGUCUCUUAGCUUUAUAAAUAUUUUGGAAUCUGAUUUUUUUGAAUAAUUUCAUAUUACUUUUGUAGUUUUAUGCUUUCUUGUUGUUCUUGUUAUGGUCUGACCUUGGUUAUUUGGAUUCAACCACAGUUGGAUGAAAUCUUAGAUGUUGUUAUCAUGUAAAGUUUGCCUUCACUCAUUUUCUAAGUUUUGCGACUCUGUUUCUAUUUUUUCGCUCAUAUCAUUUAGUCUAACAGUCUUGGGUCUAGUUUUGUUUGUCAAAGGUCUAUGGAGGACUGAGUCCGUGUCUUUAAGUGACUAGAGCUAAAAUGAAACAAGUCAUAUUUACACAUAUUCUCUCUCGAAUAUUGUUCUAUAAAUUGCCAAUUUUGGUAGGAUCUUAAUUCCUUCAUAUAAAGAUCAAAAUAGUUUGAGUAUAAGAUGUUUUGUGUAGUGUGAGUAUAAUAUGUUUUGUGUGUUUCGUCAAGUGUAGUUGUAGUUGUAUAGUUGAUUUGUUCUGGAAAAUAUAAAGUUGUGUGUGUUUUUUUAUGAGUCUGAUUUUUAGAGAAAUUUAUGUCUAAGAUCAGUCAGGUUUGUCACUAGAAUUUAUGAAUAUAUAUGUCACCGUAAUUCUUUAUUCCAAUUACUCAUUUGCCUUACCCUUUGCAUCAUCUCGCUGUUAGUUACUUCCUUGGUUUUGUCUCUCUGACUCUCUGGAAAUAUAUGUUGUGUGGUCCUAAUCUAUGCAUGUUCAAGCUCUAUUGAUUGUCUUGUCUUCUUUUAGUGGUUUUGUGCCCUUGUUUGUCUACUUGUAAUGGCCUUAUGUCCUUGUUUAUUUGAGAUUUCUCAGUGAUGAAAAUGUUUUAAAAAAUAUUGUCGUCCUAGGUAUGCUUGUUUAUUUCUUCAAUAUUGAAUUAUUCUAUUGGAAUUUGUAUUUUCUUGAGCUUAGAUAUUUUGUAUGUGAUUCACUAUGGCACAAUAUUUCAUAACUGAUUAUACAUUAUUUGUAUAUAGGAUUGUAGUUUGAGUUAAACUGGAUUUGUUCUUAACACUUUGCUUCAUCACUAGACUUUAGUGUACCAUAUGCUCUGUUUCUCACUCCUUGAAUGCUCUUCGCUUUACUCUUUAAAACAUGAAUUAGCAACAACACCCUUCAGUGGUCCAAAUCAAACCGUGAACUCGGUUCACAACGAAUCCGUAAAGUUUGAAAUUGCCGACUGAUUUGGUGAUAUCUUGUUUGCACACUCGUGAGAUGUGAAGAUACCAAACAAAACUGAACCCAUUUCUUGUGUUUUUUUUUUUCUUUCUAGAAUGAAUGUAUUGGUCAAAUGUGGUUUAAUCGAAUUGGACGGUUUUAGAUUA